CAAUCAUGUACAAACAUAUAGCUUAGCUUCUAGUGUUUGAUAUCACAUAUCGUUGCGUGUGGCACUAUUAAUUGAACACAAUUGCAAUACAACAAAAAAACUAGUCCUGACUGAGUAUGCAGCACAACAUCAGUAGCACCAGACUGAGGCCCAUAAACAGCAGAAGAAUGAGGUGUCUGGGCAGCUGAGAGGUCCAGGAGAGGUUGAAAAGAGGUUUUUUUUUCAUCAAGACAGAAGCUCCUGUGGAUAUUCAGCUGCUCCAAAGAAGUCUAGACCAAAACACCAAAGUUAAAGGCCACACUGUGAGGCUAAUUGUUCAGAUUAACCUCUAUUUGGCAAGCUUGAUUUUACAUUCUGAUAGCCUACAACUGAUGGAUGCCUCCGGUUACUGCAUCUUCUUACUGGCUGAGGAUAAAGUGUCUGCAUGUGAAGUACAAACAGUUACGGAAGAGUUCAGGUCUUGUGAUGUAAACCUUUCACAAAAUAUCCUCAUAGCUUCACUGUAUGACUUAUACCAAGUUGUUGUAUAUUGAUUUGCCAGUAUAGUAUCAUAGUUAGACACACUACAACCACAAACUGCUGAGUCCUGCUCUUCCUGUCUGACUUGACGAUCAUCUUGACUAUAUAUGUAUAUCCCUCUGGUAUAGCUGUACCUUUCUACUGCUAUCAAUUUUCACUCACUUGAGAUGAAUCUGUAUUCAAAAAGUCAUCAGUGACGCAGGACAUUAGUAAUAUCCAAAAUGUGGUCUGUAAUGCUGACGAUGUGUGUAGGUUGUCUCUAAUAUCUGGCCAUAGAAGAAUUAAAAUUAGCCUUCUAAUCAAUAAUUAUGGUCCCUGACAAAUAAACUGAUACAUAAAAUACAUUUCGGUGGUGAAAUGGCUCAUGACAAAUUUCUAUUGAUAAUGAAUUUCAUAGUGUCGCUGUGCUAAGAAAACAUUUUUAGUGCUGCAUCAUUUGUCAGUAAUUGCUUUGCACAUAAUGUUGAUUCAUGCAUCAGAUUUCUGAAUUGGUUUGUUUCACUUUUAUGUGUGUGUAAAUUAUAUCUUUAUCCUUGUCCUUAAAGGAUAAGACUGGCUUUAAUCUCUAUUUUUGUCCCUUGAGAAUAUCAACAAUAUGUUAGCCCGUCUCUCAAUAUUCGCUUCAAUAUCCUGUCUGUGGUACUCAGA